CUCCCUAAAUCUUCGUUGUAGGAGUGUCAUUUUUGCUGAUAAGGUUGGAUUAUUACUGAGGAAUCCUAGGGGUA
rnacentral:tRNA from 1 species